GAUGAACGCUGGCGGCGUGCCUAAUACAUGCAAGUCGAGCGAACAGACGAGGAGCUUGCCCCUCUGACGUUAGCGGCGGACGGGUGAGUAACACGUGGAUAACCUACCUAUAAGACUGGGAUAACUUCGGGAAACCGGAGCUAAUACCGGAUAAUAUAUUGAACCGCAUGGUUCAAUAGUGAAAGACGGUUUUGCUGUCACUUAUAGAUGGAUCCGCGCCGCAUUAGCUAGUUGGUAAGGUAACGGCUUACCAAGGCAACGAUGCGUAGCCGACCUGAGAGAGUGAUCGGCCACACUGGAACGGAGACACGGUCCAGACUCCUACGGGAGGCAGCAGUAGGGAAUCUUCCGCAAUGGGCGAAAGCCUGACGGGGCAACGCCGCGUGAGUGAUGAAGGUCUUCGGAUCGUAAAACUCUGUUAUUAGGGAAGAACAAAUGUGUAAGUAACUAUGCACGUCUUGACGGUACCUAAUCAGAAAGCCACGGCUAACUACGUG
rnacentral:rRNA from 1 species